rnacentral:rRNA from 1 species
UACGUAGGUGGCAAGCGUUGUCCGGAAUUAUUGGGCGUAAAGCGCGCGCAGGCGGUCUCUUAAGUCUGAUGUGAAAGCCCCCGGCUUAACCGGGGAGGGUCAUUGGAAACUGGGAGACUUGAGUGCAGGAGAGGGAAGCGGAAUUCCAUGUGUAGCGGUGAAAUGCGUAGAGAUAUGGAGGAACACCAGUGGCGAAGGCGGCUUCCUGGCCUGUAACUGACGCUGAGGCGCGAAAGCGUGGGGAGCAAACAGG